GUGUUUGGCAGUUUUAGCACAAUUCAAACAACUCAUUCCGGCGUUCACAAGUCGACCUCCAUUUACUCCACAAAACGAGAGCCUUCCAGACGAAGUGUCCGCCCCUCCAUGUCGGCGCCGUAGGAGGGGUUCAAUCGCCAACAUCCAGAUGCGGCGGAGGAGACUCGCCGGCACGCUCCCACUCGCCCUCCCGUGGCUUCGCCCCCUGAUCGGCCUGUACCUCCACCCAGUAUUGCGUCGUCUUCGUGGGGGAUGAGGCGGCGCUGGUCGGCGACAACGACGGCGACUACAGUCCUCGCUCCAUAGCCUCCCUCUCUGCACCGCGUCACCGCUUCUCACAUGUAUCUGUUUCUGCUGCAUUUGAAGGACAACUUCAGGACUGCAAUGGCGCUUCAAUAUAAAAAAAGAUUUAGAUAAAACAUGUGAGGUUAUAUGGUUUCUUUAUUACUUUUUUUAAAAAAAGUUUGCCACCUACAUCAGUGUUUUUUAUUGCAACGAGUUGAAUACUAAUGUUUUCCCUUACCUCUUUAUCACAUAAACAUUUUAUUACUCCCCCGAUCAUUCUAUUUACUCUAAAGAAAACAAAAACAGGACAACGCUGCAAGAUAGGUAUGUAUUUCAAUCUUCUAAAAUUAUGUUUCUUUCUCCAUCAGGGCUUUGUAGGUUAUAUUCAUUUUAAUUGUUCCUUUUAAAGUCAUACACAUAUCUUAAGUAAAUCGAGGCACACCGCUCCAUGUUUCAUCAGCUCUAAACUACUUUUUUACUUCUAUAGACGUGCUCAAAUAAUUCCAUGUUUGCUAUUAUUUUGUAGGCUAGUCUCCCCGAGAACAAGGAAUUGCUAGAAUCCCUUAACUCGGAACAAAAAGACAAUGGAUGUUACGUUUAUGGAGAAUGGUCCUUUUUAUUUUCUUGCAAGGAAACAAGUUUAAGCACUUAAAAAGGCUGGAAGGGAAUCUAAAAUGGAUCACCACUUUGGCUUUUUCAGAUGGUGAUGGAAUAAGGGAAAAACACAGUGGCAAAGAGAGUCAAGUACAGUUUAUUUGAUGAUCAUCAAGGAGGAAGAGAUUAAUAUUUCUUAUUUGUAGGAGGAAGAGAUUUUAAAAAGGACACCAUGACAAGCAGCAGGCAAACAGCUUAUUGAAGCAUGUAACUAGCACCGCAAGUUUGCAAGGCCAUGCGGAUAGCUUGUUGGAUGCGACAGUCAUUGCACCCUCUGAUCAUUGAGAGAUCUGAGGGUUCCUAUGUCUAUGACAUUAAUGGGAACAAGUAUCUGGACUCUCUUGCAGGAUUAUGGUGCACAGCUUUAGGUGGUAGCGAGCCUCGAUUAGUCAAAGCAGCAACUGAGGGUGCAUGGUUAUGUUGUGCGAUAAGAUCCAUCUAUGAAUUGUUUGUGCUUCUACAUUUAGGAACAAUGGGCAAUUAGGAUUUUUUAUGUAUGUUUUGAAUGAUUCUUAAUUGUUGCAGUAACAGUGACAAGAUAGGUUGUUUAAUUAUGUCCUCAUUGCAAUAUCAUUGGUAAAGUAGGCAGUAGUCAUAGGAUAUUCUGUACCAAGGUUGCUUUUUAUAGGAAUUACUUGAACUAAAUAACAACAAUGUAUGAUCUGUCUAGGAAUAAGAUUGUUUAUAUCAUAUUGUAUACAUGCUGAAAGUAGCAG